rnacentral:misc_RNA from 1 species
UACGUAGGUGGCAAGCGUUAUCCGGAAUUACUGGGCGUAAAGCGCGCGUAGGUGGCUUGAUAAGCCGAUUGUGAAGGCCCCGGGCUCAACCUGGGAACGGCAUCCGGAACUGUCAAGCUAGAGUGCAGGAGAGGAAGGUAGAAUUCCCGGUGUAGCGGUGAAAUGCGUAGAGAUCGGGAGGAAUACUAGUGGCGAAGGCGGCCUUCUGGACUGACACUGACACUGAGGUGCGAAAGCGUGGGUAGCAAAUAGG